ACUCCUACGGGAGGCAGCAGUAGGGAAUAUUGCACAAUGGGGAAACCCUGAUGCAGCCAUGCCGCGUGUGUGAAGAAGGCCUCGGUUGUAAAGCACUUCAGUAGGGAGGAAGGUAGUGUAGUUAACACCUGCACUAUUUGUACGUUAGCUGCAGAAGAAGCACCGGCUAACUCCGUGCCAGCAGCCGCGGUAAUACGGAGGGUGCGAGCGUUAAUCGGAAUUACUGGGCGUAAAGCGCAUGCAGGUGGUUUGUUAAGUCAGAUGUGAAAGCCCGGGGGCUCAACCUCGGAAUUGCAUUUGAAACUGGCAGACUAGAGUACUGUAGAGGGGGUAGAAUUUCAGGUGUAGCGGUGAAAUGCGUAGAGAUCUGAAGGAAUACCGGUGGCGAAGGCGGCCCCCUGGACAGAUACUGACACUCAGAUGCGAAAGCGUGGGGAGCAACAGGAUUAGAUACCCUGGUAGGAUAGCG
rnacentral:rRNA from 1 species